AACGAACGCUGGCGGCGUGCCUAACACAUGCAAGUCGAACGGGGAUAGAUAGCUUGCUAUUUAUUCUAGUGGCGCACGGGUGAGUAACGCGUAGAUAAUCUGCCUUGGACUCUGGGAUAACAUUUCGAAAGGGGUGCUAAUACCGGAUAAGCCCACGGGGACGUAAGUUCUUGCGGGAAAAGGGGGCCUCUGCAUAUGCUCUUGAUCCAAGAUGAGUCUGCGUACCAUUAGCUAGUUGGUAGGGUAAGAGCCUACCAAGGCGACGAUGGUUAGCUGGUCUGAGAGGAUGGUCAGCCACACUGGAACUGAGACACGGUCCAGACUCCUACGGGAGGCAGCAGUGGGGAAUUUUGCGCAAUGGGGGAAACCCUGACGCAGCAACGCCGCGUGAGUGAUGAAGGCUUUCGGGUCGUAAAGCUCUGUCUAGAGGGAAGAAAUGAUAUUGGGUUAAUACCCUGAUUUCU
rnacentral:rRNA from 1 species